GUGGAUAUUUAACCCGAACAGAAAAUCCAAGAAUUUCUAGAAACGAACACUGACGAAACGGCCGAAAUUAGAGUCCAGAAAACAAUUCUAGCAACUACGGCGGCGGCGCCGCCGAUCAGCAGACCUCGUAGUCACGGUAGAGCAGCUCUCCAUCGACCGCGCCGCCGUCGUGGCGGAUCCCAUGGUGCUCCUUCUGGCGGCGCAGCUCCAUGACCUUGCGGUGCGAGUUUGAGUGCUGCGUGAGCACGAACGUCGGGCUCGACGCCGGCCGGUACUCCGGCACCAGCCGGCCAGACUUAUACCGCACGCCGCAGGCGUUGCAGAGCGUCUUCGGCCCCAUUGGCCCCGUCCGCCACUGGGGCGUCUUCUCCGACGCGCAGUGCGUGCACCGUCGCGCACCGCCGUCUCCCUCCUCGCCGCCCCGCUUCCUCCUACUGCUGCUGGCGCUGCUCGCCCGAGACGGGAACUCCGAUGAGGAUGACGAUGUCGACGACGACGUUGACUGCACCGCCGCUGAUGCCGCCCAGGCGGCGCUCAUGAGAUGGUUCUCUCGCUUGCUCCGAGCACUGCGGCCGGCGGUCACGGAGGGGUAAUUUGGUAAUUGUAGCUUCUCAGCGGAGGCCGGGAGGGGCGGGUAGGGGUUGUUGGAGAAAGAAUCCUCCACGAACUGGGAUAGCCACUCCAGUUCCGCAGCUUCCUCGCACGGCAUAAAGUGGUCCUCAGGAAAGUCAGUGCUCCGGUAUUCGGAGGUGAUGGCGGCCGGGGGUGGAGGAGGGGUGUAGUGGGCGUCGACAUUGGCGGCGGCUGAAGAGGGGAGGAGUUCGAGGUUGGUGAAGUCGAGUAGGUCCUCGAUGCGCAGGGUGUCGGCGGAGGGGAGGGCGUAGGAGUACAUGGGGGCGGUGGCGACGGCGGCAGGGGUUGUGGUGUAAUCCAUCGAUUGCAUGCCUAAGGUGAAGUUGAGCCCGUGCAUCUCCCACCCCGGCGCCAUUGGAGAGCGAUGUGAGGGGGGUGGGAGAGGAGGAGAAAUA
rnacentral:misc_RNA from 1 species